UGAAUUGAAAUAAAACUCACAACAACAAGCUCUCGAGUGUCGACAAAUACUUAUUUUUAUAUGAAGGCAUUAUGUAUUACGGAACACAAUAAAAGUGAACAAUAUCUUUGAAAAUAUUUAUCGUAGAUUUGAUUUACGUGUUGUGUCCCAGUAGGAAACAUGGGUAUUUUGGAAAAAAUAUCAGAGAUCGAGAAGGAAAUUGCUAGGACACAGAAGAAUAAAGCUACCGAGUACCACUUGGGGCUGCUAAAAGCGAAGCUAGCCAAGUACCGCUCACAAUUGUUGGAACCCUCAAAGAAGGGAGAUAAAGGAGAAGGGUUUGAUGUGCUUAAGUCUGGAGAUGCUAGAGUGGCCCUUAUUGGCUUCCCUUCUGUUGGUAAAUCCACGCUCCUAUCAACUCUAACACACACGCACUCUGAGGCAGCCAGCUAUGAGUUCACUACUCUAACUUGCAUCCCCGGCGUGAUCGAAUACCGCGGCGCGAAUAUACAGCUGCUAGACUUGCCUGGUAUCAUUGAAGGCGCCGCGCAGGGCAAAGGUCGUGGACGCCAGGUAAUAGCAGUAGCGCGAACCGCGGACCUAGUGCUAAUGAUGCUGGACGCGACCAAACCCUACGUGCACCGACAACUCUUGGAAAAGGAGUUGGAGAGUGUAGGAAUACGUCUCAAUAAGCCGAAGCCGAAUAUUUACUUCAAAAUUAAAAAAGGUGGUGGUCUGUCGUUUAACUCAACAUGUCAACUCACAAAAGUGGACGAGAAAAUGGUGCAAAUGAUCCUACAUGAAUACAAGAUUUUCAAUGCUGAGGUGCUAUUUCGCGAAGACUGCACACCGGAUGAGCUGAUCGACGUGAUCCUCGCGAACCGAGUGUACCUCCCGUGUCUGUACGUGUACAACAAGAUCGACCAAAUUUCUAUCCAGGAGGUGGACAGGAUAGCUCGAGAGCCUCACUCAGUUGUCGUCAGCUGCAACAUGAAGCUGAACCUGGACUACCUGCUGGAAACGCUAUGGGAGUACCUGUCCCUCAUCAGGGUGUACACCAAGAAGCCCGGACAGCCGCCGGAUUUCGACGACGGACUGAUCUUGCGAAGGGGUGUGACAAUAGAACACGUAUGUCACGCGAUUCACCGCACCCUCGCUGCUCAAUUGAAGUACGCUCUCGUUUGGGGCACCAGCACCAAGUACAGUCCACAGCGCGUCGGCAUUAAUCACGUCGUGCAGGACGAGGACGUCGUGCAGCUCAUCAAGAAGUGAUAGUGGACCUUACAGUCCAUUAUAAAAAAUAGGUUUUUUUUCCAAUGAAAUGACAAUUGUUAGUUUUUUUAAUUGAAAAGUUGUGUGUUUUGCUCGUCAGCAAAGUUGUUUUGCGUCUCGUGGCUUGAUACGUUCGCUACGCUCAGAAUUCUAAUGUUAGAAUCCUUCGCUUGCUCAGGUCAUAAAACGAGCACUCGCGUCAAACAACAACUUUGCAGCCUUGCAUAACAAAUAACUGUUGCCGUCCGAAUAAAUGAUGUUUUAGAGGUUUCGGCGGGCCCUCUGAAGGUACUACUAAAUGUUUUUGUUUCUGUCGCUCUUGUUCACUACGAUUACCUUGGCAACAAGUUCAGUAAACAGAAAACCUGUUUUAAUAAGAUCCCCACAUUAUUUUCAAUAGAUCAGUGCCUGAGCCAUGGCUUUGCAGUGACAGUCGCAAGUGACUGCACAAAUUUUGUGAAGUGAUAUUUCAUAUACAACAUGAUACUAUUUUAUUUUAUUUUAUGCUGUCACUAGUGACAAAUGUCACUGUAAAUUCAUGGUAGAUACCUAGUAUUUUUUCUAGGUUUAUAAAAACUUUGCCCUGUGCUUAUAUAAAUUGGAAAAAAUUGUGACCAUUUAUAAAAUUAGAAAUAGUGUGUAAAAAGAAAUCAAAAUCGCUAGGAAAUAAUAAACAAGCUAUUUUUGUUUUAUUUACAUCAAUUAUCAAAGUUUUAUUGUAAUUAAAAUUCAAAUAUUUUUGCCCCUUAAUUAAAUGUGAAAUUUCAAAGGCCUUGCAAUUACUGUUUCUCAUUUAACUUAAUAGAUCAAAGGUAGCAAUAAUUUUAGGCCUGUCGGGGAUUACAUUAUUUACCUCUUCCCUGAUUUUAAAUGAUUGUCCGGUAGUUUUUUAGUUUACCUUGUAGGUUCAAUUCACAUUGCCGCAGAAAGACAGCGUCGAUUUCGCCUUGCUGUUAGAAGACGUGCACAGUCACGGGAAUACUCGAGCAUUCGCGAGAAAUGUCACGAUUGCGCCUUGAACCUGUAGUAAGUGUUCAGUUAUUUAAUGUACAAGUUUUACAUGACAAGUAUGAUGGACUUGGUAUAUGGGAUAUUGUUUUUAUUUCGCUUAGUUGUGAAGCAGAAGAAGAGCAAUAAAAGGAAUAUAUUGGGAUGCCGACAACAUCUGCGGAAAUUCCCGUAAAUGUGCGAGCAUUCAGCAAGCGCGAGAAUUAUCCGACCUUUUUUGGCUCAUAUUUGCGCUUUGUACGCUGCAUAAUUGUCAUAAUGUUCAUUAUGCUAUGUACAAUUUUAUUACAAAAAUUCGCUUUCAUUCCAUGGUAAUUGUGCCAAUGUAAAUUGAGCCUAUGUGUGCCGUAUAUCGAAAGAUCUGUGCCUCUACCGUGAAAUUACAGUGACAAUUAUCGCUAGGAACCGCGUAAAAUAUUUGUAUACAAAAUGAUGUUUCUUCUUGAGACCGCUAGGGGCGCUAUACAAAAUUGUGUAGUAAUUUACGCGGUCACUAACGACAACUAUCACAGUACACUCAUGGUAGAGGUACUGGUAUAUAAUAGCGAGACAUCACGCAUUCAGUCUGUUACCGGGCUACGGUCUCUGCGGAGCAGUGAUGCUGCAGGCUCAUUUAUAUAGCUGCUUUUCCCUUUGAAUGAUACAUAGAAUUUACUAGCCAUAAGCGUUGUAGUUAUAACCUAUUGUUAA